rnacentral:rRNA from 1 species
CCUACGGGUGGCAGCAGUGAGGAAUAUUGGUCAAUGGCCGGAAGGCUGAACCAGCCAUGCCGCGUGAAGGUCAGUGCCCUAUGGGCGUUAAACUUCUUUUGUGCGGGAGCAAUAAUGAUCAAGUGUGGCCAGACGAGAGUACCGUACGAAUAAGCAUCGGCUAAAUCCGUUCCAGGAGCCGCGGGGAUACGGGGGAUGCAAGCGUUAUCCGGAGUUAUUGGGUUUUAAGGGUGCGUAGGCUGGGAGGUAAGUCAGCGGUGAAAUGCCCCCGCUCAACGGGGUGAAGUGCAAUUGAUACUGCCUGGCUGGAAUGCGGAUGCGGUAGGAGGAAUGUGUGGUGUAGCGGUGAAAUGCAUAGAUAUCACACAGAACACCGAUUGCGAAGGCAUCUCACGAAUCCGCGAUUGACGCUGAUGCACGAAAGCGUGGGUAUCAAACAGGAUUAGAUACCCUAGUAGUC